CAGCCUGUCAGUGUAAUGGUCACAGCAGGUGUGUGAACGGCAGCGUGUGCGAGCGCUGCGGGAACCUGACGGCAGGGACGCACUGCCAGAGCUGCAUGCCCGGUUAUUAUGGAGACCCCAUCAACGGAGGGAAAUGCAACGCGUGUAAGUGUAACAGUCACGCCAACGUUUGCCACGUCAACACGGGAAAGUGCUUCUGCACCACCAAGGGCAUCAAGGGAGACCAGUGUCAGCUAUGUGACUCAGAGAACCGUUACCUUGGUAACCCCCUCAGAGGAACGUGUUAUUGUAA